CAAACACAUAGAAAAGAGAAAAGAGAGAACUAAGAGACAGCGAGAAAGAGAGAGACUGUGUGAGAGAGAGAGAGAGAGGGAGAGGGAGAGAGAGAGAGAGUUCAACCAAAUGAAGAAGAAGAAAAGAAGAGGGUUUUAUGGGAUAUCAAAAUUCAAGCUAAAAAUUAUGGAAAAUUCAUCACAAGGUGAGCAAACUAAGUAACAAGGAUAGAGAAAGCCUUAGAGUCUACCCGUGUCAACCUUUUGAAGAGCUUUCGGAAUGGAGCAAGUUAGGCUCGUGUAGAGCCAAGAAAAUCAGUGUCGUUAGCUUUGUCAAAGUUUGGUAUUUUGCUGAGUCUUAAACGUAUAUAUGUGUGAGAUAUAAAAGAUUUGUAUAUGUUUAUAGUUUAUUAUUGUAUCAUGUAGGUACAAGCUCAAUGGACAUUUUUAUUUUUGUUUUGCUUC